GUGCUCACUUUGGUAGCACAUAUACUAAAAUUGGAACAAUAAAGAGAGCAUUAGCAUGGCCCCUGUGCAAGGAUGACAUGCAAAUUCAUGAAGCAUGCCAUAAUUUU